rnacentral:lncRNA from 1 species
AAAUCUUUCUGUUGGUGUCGUUCUGCUGACAUCACCAUGGAUUUGGUGUUCAAGUCCACAGCCAGGCAAAACUCAAAUACAUUUUCCCUUUUGCAAGCAGCUGCACAGUGAGUUUGCCUUCCAUUAGUAAAGGAACAAUGAAGAAAAAGGAAACCCUGCGUCUAAAACAUGGGCAAUGAAAGAACGUAGGAAUGGAAGCCAAGAAUCCUGCUGUGGUAGAAGGGGGAUAGACUCAUGAAUUCUCCACAAUAAGAUAUUUUACUUCUUUUUAACAGCCCCAUCAGCAGAGAGAAAUAAUGACUCCCGAAACAUUUCAGAAUCAAAAAGUUAAAAUGAUGUUUCAAUGAUGCUACAUCGUGCCAGACGCAGGCUAAUGGUUUGAAGAUGUUGGCCUAGCAAGAUGGCAACGAGUUUAAAAAAUAGGAUUCCUAAGAAGUUACUUUUUUCAGACUUUGGAAGACUAAAGGAGCUAUUAUUUAUCUGUAAGCAUCUGUGACAAAGAAGAACCUAGAUGACAGCCACCGGAGGAGGCACAGAGAGCAGAACUGCAACGUUAAAGCAAUGAAUCCCUAAGAAGUAAGGUUAAGAGCACAAAUGCUUUGG